rnacentral:lncRNA from 1 species
GUCAGUUGUGGAGAGACGUAGAGGAGUUGAGUUCGUCAGGAGUGUGUCAGGAGGCAGACAGCUCCGUCGCAGACUAUGAACCUCUCCGGCAUUUAGCCGUCAAAGACCCUGUCUGGUAGGAAACACUAGCCAGGCAUCAUGAGUGGCUGUUGAGUGUUCAUUGGGAGACUAAAUCCAGCAGCGAGGGAGAAAGAUGUGGAAAGAUUCUUCAAGGGUUACGGACGGAUCAGAGAUAUUGAUUUGAAAAGAGGUUUUGGUUUUGUGGAAUUCGAGGAUGUAGAUGACACUGUCUAUGAACUUGAUGGAAAGGCACUUUGCAGUGAAAGGGUUACUAUUGAACAUGCUUGGGCUCGGGCUCAAGGUGAAAGAGGUAGAGGACGAUACUCCGACCAUUUUAGCAGUCGCAGACCUCGAAAUGAUAGACGAAAUGCCCCACCUGUAAGAACAGAAAAUCGACUUAUAGUUGAGAAUUUAUCCUCAAGAGUCAGCUGGCAGGAUCUCAAAAAUUCCACGAGACAAGCUGGGGAAGUAACCUUUGCGGAUGCACAUCAACCUAAACUAAAUGAAGGGGUAGUUGAGUUUGCCUCUUAUGGUGACU